GCCAGUGUGGAAUAGUGGUUCUGAGUGUUGGGCUGCGGCUCUGGAGACCAGGGUUCGAUUCCCUGCUGUGCCA